GAUGAACGCUGGCGGCGUGCUUAACACAUGCAAGUCGAACGGAAAGGCCGAAGCUUGCUUCGGUACUCGAGUGGCGAACGGGUGAGUAACACGUGGGUGAUCUGCCCUGUACUUCGGGAUAAGCUUGGGAAACUGGGUCUAAUACCGGAUAUGACGAUCUCUUGGAUGGGGUUGUGGAAAGCUUUUGCGGUAUGGGAUGAGCUCGCGGCCUAUCAGCUUGUUGGUGGGGUAAUGGCCUACCAAGGCGUCGACGGGUAGCCGGCCUGAGAGGGUGUACGGCCACUUUGGGACUGGGGAACGGCCCAGACCCCUACGGGGGGGAGUGGGGGGGAAUAUUGCAAAAUGGGGGAAACCCUGAUGCAGGGACGCCGCGGGGGGGAUGCGGGCCUUCGGGUUGGAAACUCCUUUCGCAAUCGAAGAAGCCUUUUGGGGAGGGUAGGUUGAAAAGAAGCCCCGGCUACCUACGU
rnacentral:rRNA from 1 species